rnacentral:lncRNA from 1 species
UAAAUUCCUUCCACGUGUUGAGCAUUUGAUGCUUAACAAAAUGAGUAAGUGCUCGAUCAGCACGAACCAACGCUACAAAAGAAAAAUACAUAAGGAUUAGUUUUCUACAUAUGUAGGUUUAACAUAUAUGUAAGGUAAAUUACGAACUUACCUGUAGGCCGUCCUUAAUGAUCUGAAUGUACUCUGGAGGUACAUCAGCCCACUUGAGGGUCUGGAUUGGAAACGUGUCUCGUGUUAACACAUUGGUGGUGUUGUUGAGUCGAACGAAAUGUGACGAGAUAGACUUGUCCCC